GUUUAUCAAAAACAUCGCCUCUUGUCCCUCAGAAUAUAAGAGGUCCCGCCUGCCCUGUGACUAUAUGUUUAACGGCCGCGGUAUCUUAACCGUGCGAAGGUAGCGUAAUCACUUGUCUUUUAAAUGAAGACCUGUAUGAAUGGCAUCACGAGGGCUUAACUGUCUCCCCUCUCCAGUCAAUGAAAUUGACCUCCCCGUGCAGAGGCGGGGAUAUCUUUAUAAGACGAGAAGACCCUGUGGAGCUUUAGACCUAAAAUAAACCACGUUUAAGAUACUAAAAUUAAUAGCAAAAACUUAGUGGACAAUUAUUAAAGUGUCUUUGGUUGGGGCGACCGCGGAGUAAAACACAACCUCCAUGUGGACGGGGAUACUAUCCCUAAAACUCAGAGCCUCCACUCCAAGCAACAGAAAUUCUGACCUAACUGAUCCGGUAUAACCGAUUAACGAACCCAGUUACCCCAGGGAUAACAGCGCAAUCCCCUCUCAGAGCUCAUAUCGACGAGGGGGUUUACGACCUCGAUGUUGGAUCAGGACAUCCUAGUGGUGCAGCCGCUAUUAGGGUUCGUUUGUUCAACGAUUAAAGUCCUACGUGAUCUGAGU
rnacentral:rRNA from 1 species